AGUUCAAGAGUACGUGAAACCGUUCAGGGGUAAACCUGAGAAACCCAAAAGAUCGAAUGGGGAGAUUCAUCGUCGACGGCCGCCCUGGCCGCCGUUGGCGCGCGAUGCGCCGGCUGAAUCCGUUUCCAGCGGUUCAACAGCGAGCGCACGCCGCCUUCGGUGUUCCGGCGUCGUAGUCGUGCACUUCUCCCCUAGUAGAACGUCGCGACCCGUUGCGUGUCGGUCUACGGCCCGAGCGGUAGCCUGUCCCGUCUCGCCUCGAGCGUGCGUGGACAGACCCUCGGUCGCCCGGCCGGCUGCGCGACGGUACUCGCACGGUAUCGGGCCGCAGCGGUUGAAACGUUCUCGAACGUUUUUACGCGCGUGCGUCAGGCCCGUCGCAAGCUGGCUCAGUUCUCACCCUGGAGGUUACGGACCCGGUGCCGUCCCCGGGCCUGGCCAGCUGUUGGCCGACGGUGUCCUCUGACUGUGUCCAAAAACUUACCGGUCGGCGACGCUAUUGCUUUGGGUACUCUCAGGACCCGUCUUGAAACACGGACCAAGGAGUCUAACAUGUGCGCGAGUCAUUGGGAUCGAUAUUGAAACCUAAAGGCGGAAUGAAAGUGAAGGUCGUUCCUUAGCGUCGACCGAGGGAGGAUGGGCCGCGUACAAGUAAUUGUGCGGCCUCGCACUCCCGGGGCGUCUCGUUCUCAUUGCGAGAAGA
rnacentral:rRNA from 1 species